rnacentral:sRNA from 1 species
ACCGGGGGGAGAGGCUUCUCGGAGCAGCAGUAUACAUCACAGAGCUGUCUAGCCCAGGUCUGUGGGCCGAGGCCCCAAAAUGCCAGGACCCAAACGCCACAGCAAUAAUCUUUAUCCCCCUUCCAGAACAGCCCCUGCCACCCCCAUCCCAGCGCUUUUCUUUCCAGUCAGGGACCUGAUCUCUGGCUUUUGCCUGGGGUUGACCCGUUUCCGCCACUAAUCAGCUGAAUGACCCUGGGACAAGUCCCUUAAACUCUCUGGAUCUCAUUGCAUCUGUAAAGUCUGAGAGAGUGACAAAGUGUCCUUUCUAGCCCUGACCCUAUGCCUCAUCCGGUACUUUCUCCAUAGGUGCCCAACGCUCUGGGAGAGCCCCAGGUGCCCUCCAAGCAGGCCACCUCCUGCUGUUUCUCAUCCUUGGUAUCCUUUCUCUGCUCCUUUUGGUGACUGGAGCCUUUGGCUUUCACCUUUGGAGAAGACAGUGGCGACCAAGAAGAUUUUCUGCCUUAGAGCAAGGGAUUCACCCUCCGCAGGCUCAGAGCAAGAUAGAGGAGCUGGAGCAAGAACCGGAGCUGGAGCCGGAGCCGGAACCAGAGCCCGAGCUGGGGCCGGAGCCCGAGCUGGGGCCCCAGCCCGAGCCGGAACAGCUCUGACCUGGAGCUGAGGCAGCCAGCAGAUCUCAGCAGCCCAGUCCAAAUAAACUCCCUGUCAGCAGCAA